UACGUAGGGAGCAAGCGUUGUCCGGAAUCAUUGGGCGUAAAGCGCGCGUAGGUGGCUUCAUAAGUCCGUUGUGAAAGUCAAAGGCUCAACCUUUGAAAGCCGAUGGAUACUGUGAAGCUAGAGUACGGAAGAGGCGAGUGGAAUUCCUGGUGUAGCGGUGGAAUGCGCAGAUAUCAGGAGGAACACCGAUGGCGAAGGCAGCUCGCUGGGACGGUACUGACGCUGGAGGCGCGAAAGCGUGGGGAGCGAACAGG
rnacentral:rRNA from 1 species